GUACUCACUUCAGCAGCACAUAUACUAAAAGUGGAACAAUAUGGAGAAGAUAUGCAUGGCACUUGUGCAAAUAUGGCAUGCAAAUUCGUGAAGCAUUCCAUAUUUUU
ensembl:snRNA U6 U6 spliceosomal RNA